rnacentral:rRNA from 1 species
UACGUAGGGUGCAAGCGUUUAAUCGGAAUUACUGGGCGUAAAGCGUGCGCAGGCGGUCCGUUAAGACAGAUGUGAAAUCCCCGGGCUUAACCUGGGAACUGCAUUUGUGACUGGCGGACUCGAGUAUGGCAGAGGGGGGUAGAAUUCCACGUGUAGCAGUGAAAUGCGUAGAGAUGUGGAGGAAUACCGACGGCGAAGGCAGCCCCCUGGGCCCAAUA